ACCAGACUCCUACGGGAGGCAGCAGUGAGGAAUAUUGGUCAAUGGGCUUACGCCUGAACCAGCCAAGUCGCGUGAGGGAAGAAGAUGACAGUACCUCAGGAGUAAGCUCCGGCUAACUAUGUGCCAGCAGCCGCGGUAAUACAUAGGGAGCAAGCGUUAUCCGGAAUUAUUGGGUGUAAAGGGUGCGUAGACGGGAAAUUAAGUUAGUUGUGAAAUCCCUUGGCUUAACUGAGGAACUGCAGCUAAAACUGAUUUUCUUGAGUACUGGAGAGGAAAGUGGAAUUCCUAGUGUAGCGGUGAAAUGCGUAGAUAUUAGGAGGAACACCAGUGGCGAAGGCGACUUUCUGGACAGUAACUGACGUUGAGGCACGAAAGUGUGGGGAGCAAACAGGAUGAGAUACCCCCGUACA
rnacentral:rRNA from 1 species